CUUCACCCCGCCAAGGGAGGUCCUCGCCAACAGGAGUUGUCGUGGAAACGCGGCGGUGCUGCGACUGUUUGUCUGGGUCUUGUUGCCAGGCGGUGUCCGCCGCCGCAUUGCCAGGUCGCGUCAGUGGCACCAGCUUCCGAUGCACCCAAGAUGGAGGAGAGAAUAGAAGCCUUUGUCUGGCGUCCACCCUUCUGGGAGAGUGCCCUGAGCUUUUCUAUCUCCCAAAUAAACACCUAGACUCAGA